rnacentral:snRNA from 1 species
CAACUCUUGACUCUCUACAAAUCGUACAAAUCUUUCGCCUUUUACUAAGAUUUCCGUGGAGAGGGUCAAUCCGAGAGUCUAAUUUUAAUUUUUGAAUGCCUGGCGCCAGUCAGGCA